UUUAGGUGCAGCGUCACGCGUUCCUUGCCGGAGGUAGAGCUACUGGAUGGCCGAUGGGCCCUACCAGGUUACUGACGUCAACCAAACUCCGAAUGCCGGCAAGCCAGAGCGUGGCAGUGAGACUGCGGGGGAUAAGCUUCGUAGUCGAGAGGGAAACAGCCCAGACCACCGGCUAAGGCCCCUAAGCGUGUGCUCAGUGGGAAAGGAUGUGGAGUUGCCCAGACAACCAGGAGGUUGGCUUAGAAGCAGCCACCCUUGAAAGAGUGCGUAAUAGCUCACUGGUCAAGUGAUUCCGCGCCGACAAUGUAGCGGGGCUCAAGUACACCGCCGAAGCCGUGGCGCUCACACAAGCCCAGCAGCGACUUGAUCGCUGUUCAGGCGUGUGGGCGGGUAGGGGAGCGUCGUGUGGGCGGUGAAGCCGCGGAGUGAUCCAGCGGUGGAGACCACACGAGUGAGAAUGCAGGCAUGAGUAGCGAAAGACGGGUGAGAAACCCGUCCGCCGAAUGACCAAGGGUUCCAGGGCCAGGUUAAUCCUCCCUGGGUAAGUCGGGACCUAAGGCGAGGCCGACAGGCGUAGUCGAUGGACAAGGAGUUGAUAUUCUCCUACCGGCGAAGAACCGCCCAUACCGAAUCCGGUGAUGCUAACCACCCCGAACCACCACCGACGUCCUUCGGGACGUCACCGGUGACUAGGCGUGGGACCCGAGCCAGUACUAGGUAAGCGUGUUAACAGGGGUGACGCAGGAAGGUAGCCCGGCGUGGCGAUGGUUGACCACGUCCAAGGCCGUAGCCCGCCUCGUAGGCAAAUC
rnacentral:rRNA from 1 species